AGAGUUUGUUGUGCUGGGUUCACAUGUCAUAGACUGAGUGGCAGAGUGAGCAUUGCAAUCUGGAGUUUUUGACUAGUGCCUUUCCACUUCAGUGCCUCUGGGAAACACAGGCUAGGUCUUACCACAUCCAUGACUGGCACUUGAAUGUGAGUUUGUUUAUCCUUCCUUUGUGAAAACUAGGUUUCAUAGUGGAGAAGAGGACACUUCAGUAUCUAAGGCGGACCUGAGGUUAGGAAUAGAAAGCAGAGAGAAGAGGUCGGACUUCAUCCAGAGCCAGCCUGGAAACAUCAAUUUCCAACGUGCGCGAAUACCGUCGCGCGAAGUUGUGGCCGUUUUGAGGGCAGUAACGGCAUCAGCAAUACCAGCAAACUGGGGAAAAGCUGCACCACAGACAGCGACAGACACAGGCUUUUUGGAACCUCAAACAGAGCGGAAGGAAAAUGGCAGAUGCUGUAAGACAACCGGGCACCCUAAGUUCUCGGGCAACUCUUCACCAGCCCCGUUUUUCUCCCUGAAAUAACAGGAGUGUUCUGGGUAAAACUCAAGGUACCUUACAAGAAGACAGAAAUCCUAGAAAAGAUGGGGAAAGAAAACAGGAAUACUAAUUGUAGUUAAUGUAUCUCGAUUUUUACCCACAGCUGCUGAAGUUUGAGGAAACACAGUUUUAUAAUCAAAGCUUGAUGGAGAAAGAAACUAGUCAUGUGACCAUUUGCCAAAAUAACAUAAGAAAUCAAAGAUGGAUCAAAGGACUAAAGUCUAGUUCAUGUAGCUUAUAACCCAUACUGCCAUCCCUCUUUCACUCAAGGAAGGAAUGAUUCGAAGUAAAUCACAACAAAGUGGAUAAAAAAUUAAAACCCUCAACUAUUGGUCCUACUGAUUAUGGCUCGAUGAUUUUACAUUUGGAUUUGGGAGAUUACAAAUUUGUCAGGUCUUCAAGCAAAGAGAGUCAUCUUCAGGCUUGGGCAAGAUUUCCCAACACCAGUGAAAUGUUUUGAAGAAGGAACAUGGUCCUUCCUACCCAGUGCAACCCCACUUCUUCACUCUGUCAAGGAUGUGGCUUAAGGUUUUCUGUUUGCUGCUCCCAGUGACAGAUGCCUUUCUUCUUAUAAUUGUAAUUUGCACAUCUGAUUAUUUAAGAGCAAGACUAUAAUCGGAGGGUGGGAAGGGAUGGGAUUUCAAAAUUGUAGAAUAGAUAAACAAGAUUAUACUUUAUAGCACGGGGAAAUAUACACAAGAUCUUAUGGUAGCUCACAGAGGAAAAAAUGUGACAAU
rnacentral:lncRNA from 1 species